CCUACGGGAGGCAGCAGUGGGGGAUAUUGCACAAUGGGGGGAACCCUGAUGCAGCGACGCCGCGUGGGUGAAGAAGCGCCUCGGCGCGUAAAGCCCUGUCAGCAGGGAAGAAAAUGAAGGUACCUGAAGAAGAAGCCCCGGCUAACUACGUGCCAGCAGCCGCGGUAAUACGUAGGGGGCAAGCGUUAUCCGGAUUUACUGGGUGUAAAGGGGGCGCAGACGGCGAUGCAAGCCAGGAGUGAAAGCCCGGGGCCCAACCCCGGGACUGCUUUGGAAACUGUGUUGCGGGAGUGCAGGAGGGGUAAGCGGAAGUCCUAGUGUAGCGGUGAAAUGCGUAGAUAUUAGGAGGAACACCGGUGGCGAAGGCGGCUUACUGGACUGUAACUGACGUUGAGGCUCGAAGGCGUGGGGAGCAAACAGGAUUAGAUACCCCAGUAGUC
rnacentral:rRNA from 1 species